AUUGAACGCUGGCGGCAUGCUUUACACAUGCAAGUCGAACGGUAACAGGCCGCAAGGUGCUGACGAGUGGCGAACGGGUGAGUAAUGCAUCGGAACGUGCCCAGUCGUGGGGGAUAACUACUCGAAAGAGUAGCUAAUACCGCAUACGAUCUAUGGAUGACAGCGGGGGACCGUAAGGUCUCGCGCGAUUGGAGCGGCCGAUGUCGGAUUAGGUCGUUUGUGGGGUAAAGGCUCACCAAGCCAACGAUCUGUAGCUGGUCUGAGAGGACGACCAGCCACACUGGAACUGAGACACGGCCCAGACUCCUACGGGAGGCGGCAGUGGGGAAUGUUGGACAAUGGGCGCAAGCCUGAUCCAGCAAUGCCGCGUGCAGGAAGAAGGCCUUCGGGUUGUAAACUGCUUUUGUACGGAACGAAACGGCUCUGGUUAAUACCCGGGGCUAAUGACGGUACCGGAAGAAUAAGCACCGGCUAACUACGUG
rnacentral:rRNA from 1 species